rnacentral:rRNA from 1 species
GACGAACGCUGGCGGCGUGCUUAACACAUGCAAGUCGAGCGGUAAGGCCCUUCGGGGUACACGAGCGGCGAACGGGUGAGUAACACGUGAGUAAUCUGCCCAUCACUUCGGGAUAACUCCGGGAAACCGGUGCUAAUACCGAAUAUGACCACUUCAGGCAUCUGAUGGUGGUGGAAAGUUCCGGCGGUGAUGGAUGAGCUCGCGGCCUAUCAGCUUGUUGGUGGGGUAGUGGCCUACCAAGGCGUCGACGGGUAGCCGGCCUGAGAGGGUGACCGGCCACACUGGGCCUGAGACACGGCCCAGACUCCUACGGGAGGCAGCAGUGGGGAAUAUUGGACAAUGGGCGGAAGCCUGAUCCAGCAACGCCGCGUGAGGGAUGACGGCCUUCGGGUUGUAAACCUCUUUCAGCAGGGACGAAGCGCAAGUGACGGUACCUGCAGAAGAAGCACCGGCCAACUACGUG